AGUGGCGGACGGGUGAGUAACGCGUAAGAAUCUAACUUCAGGACGGGGACAACAGUGGGAAACGACUGCUAAUACCCGAUGUGCCGCGAGGUGAAACCUAAUUGGCCUGAAGAAGAGCUUGCGUCUGAUUAGCUAGUUGGUGGGGUAAGAGCCUACCAAGGCGACGAUCAGUAGCUGGUCUGAGGGGAUGAGCAGCCACACUGGGACUGAGACACGGCCCAGACUCCUACGGGAGGCAGCAGUGGGGAAUUUUCCGCAAUGGGCGAAAGCCUGACGGAGCAACGCCGCGUGAGGGAGGAAGGUCUUUGGAUUGUAAACCUCUUUUCUCAAGGAAGAAGUUCUGACGGUACUUGAGGAAUCAGCCUCGGCUAACUCCGUGCCAGCAGCCGCGGUAAUACGGGGGAGGCAAGCGUUAUCCGGAAUUAUUGGGCGUAAAGCGUCCGCAGGUGGUCAGCCAAGUCUGCCGUCAAAUCAGGUUGCUUAACGACCUAAAGGCGGUGGAAACUGGCAGACUAGAGAGCAGUAGGGGUAGCAGGAAUUCCCAGUGUAGCGGUGAAAUGCGUAGAGAUUGGGAAGAACAUCGGUGGCGAAAGCGUGCUACUGGGCUGUAUCUGACACUCAGGGACGAAAGCUAGGGAGCGAAAGGGAUUAGAUACCCCUGUAGUCCUAGCCGUAAACGAUGGAUACUAGGCGUGGCUUG
rnacentral:rRNA from 1 species